rnacentral:rRNA from 1 species
ACCAAGGAGUCUAACAUGUGUGCGAGUCUUUGAGUGAUCGAAACUCCGAGGCGAAAUGAAAGUGAAGGCGACUUCGGUCGCUGAGGUGAGAGCCUUUUACAAAAAAAAGGCGCAUCAUUGACCGACCUAUUCUACUCUUAGAAAGGUUUGAGUAAGAGCGCAUCUGUUGGGACCCGAAAGAUGGUGAACUAUGCCUGAAUAGGGUGAAGCCAGAGGAAACUCUGGUGGAGGCUCGUAGCGAUUCUGACGUGCAAAUCGAUCGUCAAAUUUGGGUAUAGGGGCGAAAGACUAAUCGAACUGUCUAGUAGCUGGUUCCCUCCGAAGUUUCCCUCAGGAUAGCUGGAACUUACGGCAGUUUUAUCAGGUAAAGCGAAUGAUUAGAGGUCUUAGGGUUAAAACAACCUUAACCUAUUCUCAAACUUUAAAUUGGUAAGAAGUCCGACUUGCUUAAUUGAAGCCGGACAGUGAAUGCGAGUUCCUAGUGGGCCAUUUUUGCUAAGCAGAACUGGCGAUGCGGGAUGAACCGAACGCGCGGUUAAGGUGCCAAAGUCGACGCUCAUCAGACCCCACAAAAGGUGUUGGUUGCUCUAGACAGCAGGACGGUGGCCAUGGAAGUUGGAAUCCGCUAAGGAGUGUGUAACAACUCACCUGCCGAAGCAACUAGCCCUGAAAAUGGAUGGCGCUCAAGCGUCGCACCUAUACCGUGCCGUCGGAGCAGAUGCGAAGCUCCGACGAGUAGGAGGGCGUGGGGGUCGUGACGCAGCCUCUGGCGCGAGCCUGGGUGAAACGGCCUCCAGUGCAGAUCUUGGU